rnacentral:misc_RNA from 1 species
CCAGGGCUGAGGGGUCAGUGGAG